AUUGAACGCUGGCGGCAGGCCUAACACAUGCAAGUCGAGCGGAUGAAGGGAGCUUGCUCCUGGAUUCAGCGGCGGACGGGUGAGUAAUGCCUAGGAAUCUGCCUGGUUGUGGGGGAUAACGUCCGGAAACGGGCGCUAAUACCGCAUACGUCCUGAGGGAGAAAGUGGGGGAUCGUCGGACCUCACGCUAUCAGAUGGGCCUAGGUCGGAUUAGCUAGUUGGUGGGGUAAAGGCCUACCAAGGCGACGAUCCGUAACUGGUCUGAGAGGAUGAUCAGUCACACUGGAACUGAGACACGGUCCAGACUCCUACGGGAGGCAGCAGUGGGGAAUAUUGGACAAUGGGCGAAAGCCUGAUCCAGCCAUGCCGCGUGUGUGAAGAAGGUCUUCGGAUUGUAAAGCACUUUAAGUUGGGAGGAAGGGCAGUAAGUUAAUACCUUGCUGUUUUGACGUUACCAACAGAAUAAGCACCGGCUAACUUCGUG
rnacentral:rRNA from 1 species